GUGAUUUGAUUUGUCCUCUCCCAGAGAGAAGAAGCGCGAGAAGGAGCGCGACGAGCUGUGGAAGCGGCUGGGCGAGCUGGAGAUCAGCCACAAGCGCGGCGCGGGCGCGGCGCCGGCCAAGUGAUGCCGCCCCCAAGCCACACAUAGAAUACUGCGAUCCGUUUUAUUUCCAAGCGGCCGGCGGCGGCGCCCGGCACUCGAGCGCGACCACCGGCGCAUCAGUAUGUAUGUAUGUACACUAUGAAGAUGUUUGUUAUGUAAAAUGUAUUAACAUUGCAAAAAUUAUAUAUGAUCUUAAAUAUAAAUUACUAUUAUAGAACACAGUAUGAAAAUAAAAAAGUUGACUCACAUGAAUUGAAUUUUUUAAGUGUAAUGUAAGCGUAGGCGUCCCGCGCGCGGCGCCGCACUCCCGGCUACUUCCCCUAGUGACUACUCAGUUGCGCAACUGCAUUGGAAAUACACAAGAAAUUUUCACAUUA